CGGGCCCGCCGUUUACGGCCGCCGGGGGGCAUCAGCCCCCGGGCCCGCGCCCGCCGGAGACACCACGAACUCUGUCUGAUCUAGUGAAGUCUGAGUUGAUUGUAUCGCAAUCAGUUAAAACUUUCAACAAUGGAUCUCUUGGUUCCGGCAUCGAUGAAGAACGCAGCGAAAUGCGAUAACUAGUGUGAAUUGCAGAAUUCCGUGAAUCAUCGAGUCUUUGAACGCACAUUGCGCCCCCUGGUAUUCCGGGGGGCAUGCCUGUCCGAGCGUCAUUGCUGCCCAUCAAGCACGGCUUGUGUGUUGGGUCGUCGUCCCCUCUUCGGGGGGGACGGGCCCCAAAGGCAGCGGCGGCACCGCGUCCGAUCCUCGAGCGUAUGGGGCUUUGUCACCCGCUCUGUAGGCCCGGCCGGCGCUUGCCGAACGCAAAACAACCAUUUUUUCCAGGUUGACCUCGGAUCAGGUAGGGAUACCCGCUGAACUUAAGCAUAUCAAUAAGCGGAGGAAAAGAAACCAACCGGGAUUGCCUCAGUAACGGCGAGUGAAGCGGCAAGAGCUCAAAUUUGAAAGCUGGCUCCUUCGGGGUCCGCAUUGUAAUUUGCAGAGGAUGCUUCGGGUGCGGCCCCUGUCUAAGUGCCCUGGAACGGGCCGUCAGAGAGGGUGAGAAUCCCGUCUGGGAUGGGGUGUCCGCGCCCGUGUGAAGCUCCUUCGACGAGUCGAGUUGUUUGGGAAUGCAGCUCUAAAUGGGUGGUAAAUUUCAUCUAAAGCUAAAUACUGGCCGGAGACCGAUAGCGCACAAGUAGAGUGAUCGAAAGAUGAAAAGCACUUUGAAAAGAGAGUUAAAAAGCACGUGAAAUUGUUGAAAGGGAAGCGCUUGCGACCAGACUCGCCUCCAGGGUUCAGCCGGCAUUCGUGCCGGUGUACUUCCCUGGGGGCGGGCCAGCGUCGGUUUGGGCGGCCGGUCAAAGGCUCCCGGAA
rnacentral:rRNA from 1 species